rnacentral:ncRNA from 2 species
CAGGCCGAGAGGCGCUGCAACGGACCACCGGGUCCGCCACGCUCGGCCGGGAAUGACCAACCAAGGGCGCCUCCCGAUC